AACUCAGAGACCCACCUGCUUCUUCUGCCUCCAGAGUGCUAAGAUAAAAGGUCACUGGGAACCUGGCUCUGGAGGUGGAAUUACUUGGCCCAGCCCGACUUUAAACCCAAGCAUUUUGUCUUAAACGGUUCUCCAAGACCACUUGCUCAGUCACCAGCUGGCUCCCUAGUCCUGUGAAAAAGUGAAAGAGAACAGCCAAAUAGCCUGAGAGUGGAAAUGCUGUGUCCUUAAGACCAGGAGAUUGGCUGUUUAUGCCCUUGAGAUGAAAAGCACUCCUAUUGUGGAUCAUUCUCCAGUUUCAGACAGCUUUCUACCGCUGAACCACACUCCAGCCCCUCACUAGGGGAUUCUAGGUAGGGACUCAAUUAGUGAGCCACUCACUACCCAGGCCCCAACUGGGGAAUUCUAGGCCAUGCCCUAGCCCCUCUAGCAUCUCCUUAGGGGAUUCUAAGAUGCUCUAUUACUAAGCUAUAUAUAUUCUCAGCACCUCAUUGGAGAGAUUCUAGGCAGAUGUUCUAACAGUGAGCCAUAACCCAAACUCACUGUUGAAGUGAAGCACUCUACUACUGAGCUAUAGCCCCUUAAUGCACCCUUUCUAUGCUUUUUUAUUUUUAAACAGUGCCUCACCAUGUGGCCAAUGCAAACCUCAAACUUAUAAUCCUUGGCCUCGGUCCUCCAAGUAGCUGUAAUUACAGUCCUGAGCUGGUCCAGGCUGGGCUCAGGUGGUUCUCAAUCUUCCUAAUGCUCUGUAACACAGCUCCUCAUGUUAUGGUGACCCCAGUCAUAAAAUUAUUUUUGUUGUUACUUCAUAACUAUAAUUUUGCUGCUCUUAUGAAUUGUUAUGUAAGUAUCUGUUUUCCAAUGGUCUUAAGCAACC